rnacentral:rRNA from 1 species
UACGUAGGGCGCAAGCGUUGUCCGGAAUUAUUGGGCGUAAAGAGCUCGUAGGCGGUCUGUCGCGUCGGCUGUGAGAACCCGGAGCUCAACUCCGGGCCUGCAGUCGAUACGGGCAGACUGGAGUUCGGCAGGGGAGACUGGAAUUCCUGGUGUAGCGGUGAAAUGCGCAGAUAUCAGGAGGAACACCGGUGGCGAAGGCGGGUCUCUGGGCCGAUACUGACGCUGAGGAGCGAAAGCGUGGGGAGCGAACAGG